GGUGAUAAUAGCUAUAUCAUUGUAUUUGGCUGGUAGAGCAUAUCCCUCGUGCACCUGAAUCCCUUCCACCUCGUAGUCAAAGGCUUGGCUUUCAUCAGCUCGUGUGAAGUCCACCUCUCCCAGACGCACCACAGACGGCCUGCGGAAACAAAGGGCUCCAGGAGACAAUGCGCCGCUGUCACUACGUGGUAGGGAGAGAUCAAGGCGCCGCCACAACUGAAAGCGUCUCUGUCAUUCACAUUGUCUUCCGUCACGGGGCGUGGACCAGCAGGCUCCUCACCCUCCACUGAAGAAUAACCGUCACAACAGUAUUUAGGUUUCAGAAGGAAGUCCAAUAUUACUCUUACUAUUACUACUACUAAUAAUAAUAUACUAUCACCAAAA